rnacentral:rRNA from 1 species
CCUACGGGAGGCAGCAGUGGGGAAUAUUGCGCAAUGGGGGAAACCCUGACGCAGCAACGCCGCGUGAGUGAGGAAGGACUUCGGUCUGUAAAGCUCUGUUAAUGUGGAAAAAUGGUUAGUGGUCUAAUAGGCCAUUGAUUUGAUGGUACACAUAGAGGAAGCACCGGCUAACUUCGUGCCAGCAGCCGCGGUAAUACGAAGGGUGCAAGCGUUGUUCGGAUUUAUUGGGCGUAAAGCGCGCGUAGGCGGACCUGCAAGUCAGAUGUGAAAUCUCGGGGCUCAACCUCGAAACUGCGUCUGAAACUACAGGUCUAGAAUCUUGGAGGGGGAAGGGGAAUUUCUCAUGUAGGGGUAAAAUCCGUAGAUAUGAGAAGGAACACCAGAGGCGAAGGCGCCUUCCUGGACAAGUAUUGACGCUGAGGCGCGAAAGCGUGGGGAUCAAACAGGAUUAGAUACCCUGGUAGUCCACGCUGUAAACGAUGAAUACUAGAUAUUGCAGGAUUUGACCCCUUGCAGUGUCGUAGCUAACGCGUUAAGUAUUCCGCCUGGGAGUACGGUCGCAAGACUAAAACUCAAAGUGAAUUGACGG